AAAAGAAAAAUGUGUGUAAAAAGAAGAAAAAAGAAGCAAAAACGAUUCGACUCUCCGCACUUUAGGGGGUCAAUGUCUGGUUGGCCAAUGCAAGCGUGUUUCUCAUGCUAUAGGAUGAAAGAUCUUCAGUGGCAUUGUCAGUCCUGGCUUCGUCUCCAUAGUGAGAUGCUUUAGGGAUGUGAUUCCACUGUUCAUCUGUGUUGUGUACUAUUGGCGUUUGGCAGAAGUUAUUUGGCCAGUAAGUAGCUGGCUAAACAAGAGCUGCCUAGCUGCUCCCUGGGAGCUUGUGGAUGUAUCUUCUGUUAUUUAUUUCAAUUCCAUUUUUCUUUUUCUCUUGGCUGUGUGAAGAUUCGUG
rnacentral:lncRNA from 1 species